rnacentral:rRNA from 1 species
UCCUACGGGAGGCAGCAGAGGGGAAUAUUGGACAAUGGGCGCAAGCCUGAUCCAGCCAUGCCGCGUGAGUGAUGAAGGCCCUAGGGUUGUAAAGCUCUUUUGAGCGGGAAGAUAAUGACGGUACCGCAAGAAUAAGCCCCGGCUAACUUCGUGCCAGCAGCCGCGGUAAUACGAAGGGGGCUAGCGUUGCUCGGAAUCACUGGGCGUAAAGGGUGCGUAGGCGGGUCUUUAAGUCAGGGGUGAAAUCCUGGAGCUCAACUCCAGAACUGCCUUUGAUACUGAAGAUCUUGAGUUCGGGAGAGGUGAGUGGAACUGCGAGUGUAGAGGUGAAAUUCGUAGAUAUUCGCAAGAACACCAGUGGCGAAGGCGGCUCACUGGCCCGAUACUGACGCUGAGGCACGAAAGCGUGGGGAGCAAACAGGAUUAGAUACCCUGGUAGUCCACGCCGUAAACGAUGAGUGCUAGGUGUUAGACCCUUUCCGGGGUUUAGUGCCGCAGCUAACGCAUUAAGCACUCCGCCUGGGGAGUACGACCGCAGGGUUGAAACUCAAAUGAAUUGACGGA